rnacentral:misc_RNA from 1 species
AUUGAUUUUUAGUUAUUUGUGAACGUACUACGAACAAACAAAAAAGUAUUAUAGUCAAAAAAAUUAAAUCA